rnacentral:rRNA from 1 species
GAUGAACGCUGGCGGCGUGCCUAAUACAUGCAAGUCGAGCGAACGGACGAGAAGCUUGCUUCUCUGAUGUUAGCGGCGGACGGGUGAGUCACACGUGGAUAACCUACCUAUAAGACUGGGAUAACUUCGGGAAACCGGAGCUAAUACCGGAUGAUAUUUUGAACCGCAUUGUUCAAAAGUGAAAUACGGUCUUUCUGUCACUUAUAGAUGGUUCAGGGCUGAAUUAGCUAGUUGGUAAGGUAAAGGCUUACCAAGGCAACGAUGCAAAGCCGACAUGAGAGCGACGUCGGCUAGAUGGGAAGAGAGACAGGGCCCAGACACCUAGGGGAGGAAGCAGUAGAGAAUCCUCCGCAAGGGAGGAGAGCGUAACAGAGCAAAGCCGCGGGAGGGAUGAAGGAGCACGGAUCGUAAAGCUCUGAUAGUAGUGGAGAAGAAAAGUGUAAGUAACUGUGCACAUAAUGACGGUACCGAAUCAGAAAGCCCCGGCUAACUACGUG